GACGAACGCUGGCGGCGUGCUUAACACAUGCAAGUCGAACGAAGUGGCGAACGGGUGAGUAACGCGUAAUCAACCUGCCCUUCAGAGGGGGACAACAGUUGGAAACGACUGCUAAUACCGCAUACUGAAGGCGGGGCUUGCGUCUGAUUAGCUAGUUGGGGGGGUAACGGCCAACCAAGGCGAUGAUCAGUAGCCGGGGUGAGGGGAUGAACGGCCACAGUGGGACUGAGGCACGGGCCAGACUCCUAAGGGAGGGAGCAGUGGGGAAUCGUCCGAAAUGGAGGAAAGUCUGACGGAGCAACGCCGCGGGAGUGAUGACGGCCUUCGGGUUGUAAAGCUCUGUUAAUCGGGACGCGGGACCGGAAUAGAAAGCCACGGCUAACUACGUGCCAGCAGCCGCGGUAAUAC
rnacentral:rRNA from 1 species